GUUUAAAAUUUGUCCUUGUUUUUAAAAUUGAGAAAAUUUUACAAGAAAAUUUAUUCGAAGCGUCAGUGAUUGAGAUGUGCCAAAAUCAUUCACGUAAGUUUAUCAGUUGUAUCAGUUGAGUUUUUUAAGUUUAUUUAUUUUUUUUAACAUUGUGCAAACAUUAGCAAGGGUACAGAGUGCUGAACAUGGAGAAUCAGCUGUCGAUCAAAGAUUUAUUCAAAACGUAGAUACAUUUCAUCAUUAUCGGAACAUUAUUAUUUUCGGAAGUUAUUUUUACAGGGGGGGGGGUACAAAAUGAUUCGUAUUGAACAAUUUCAAAAUGGAAAUUUUAUCACCUGGCUAGUCCCCAUAGUUUAAAGAAAUUCGUCAUUCUGAAGAAUGGAGGUGAAGUACCUGCACUAAGUUACUAAGCCAUGGUCUACACAAACUUUUAAAAAAAUUUGUACAAUCAAGGUUGUGGGAGCCCUUAGAAGAAAAAUUAUUUUAUAAAAGAUUAACGAGCCAGAGCGGAUGAAGGCAUAAUAAGAAUCAAUUUGAUAAACUAAUUGACUUUCAACGAGUAACAGAGGACGAAUGGUGGUGUUUCCGCCCCUUUCCCAUCAAAA